rnacentral:rRNA from 1 species
CUGGCUCAGGAUGAACGCUGGCGGCGUGCUUAACACAUGCAAGUCGAACGAGCCUUCGGGCUAGUGGCGGACGGGUGAGUAACGCGUGGGAAUCUGCCCUCAGGAGGGGGAUAACGGCCGGAAACGGCCGCUAAUACCCCAUAUGCCGAGAGGUGAAAUGAAUUUCGCCUGAGGAUGAGCCCGCGUCUGAUUAGCUAGUUGGUGGGGUAAUGGCCCACCAAGGCGACGAUCAGUAGCUGGUCUGAGAGGAUGAUCAGCCACACUGGGACUGAGACACGGCCCAGACUCCUACGGGAGGCAGCAGUGGGGAAUUUUCCGCAAUGGGCGAAAGCCUGACGGAGCAACGCCGCGUGAGGGAUGAAGGCCUCUGGGCUGUAAACCUCUUUUCUCAAGGAAGAAGACAUGACGGUACUUGAGGAAUAAGCCACGGCUAAUUCCGUGCCAGCAGCCGCGGUAAUACGGGAGUGGCAAGCGUUAUCCGGAAUUAUUGGGCGUAAAGCGUCCGCAGGCGGCCUUGUAAGUCUGUCGUUAAAGCGUGGAGCUUAACUCCAUUUCAGCGAUGGAAACUACAAGGCUUGAGUGUGGUAGGGGCAGAGGGAAUUCCCGGUGUAGCGGUGAAAUGCGUAGAUAUCGGGAAGAACACCAGUGGCGAAGGCGCUCUGCUGGGCCAUAACUGACGCUCAUGGACGAAAGCCAGGGGAGCGAAAGGGAUUAGAUACCCCUGUAGUCCUGGCCGUAAACGAUGAACACUAGGUGUCGGGGGAAUCGACCCCCUCGGUGUCGUAGCUAACGCGUUAAGUGUUCCGCCUGGGGAGUACGCACGCAAGUGUGAAACUCAAAGGAAUUGACGGGGGCCCGCACAAGCGGUGGAGUAUGUGGUUUAAUUCGAUGCAACGCGAAGAACCUUACCAGGGUUUGACAUCCUGCGAAUCCCUUGGAAACGAGGGAGUGCCUUCGGGAGCGCAGAGACAGGUGGUGCAUGGCUGUCGUCAGCUCGUGUCGUGAGAUGUUGGGUUAAGUCCCGCAACGAGCGCAACCCACGUCUUUAGUUGCCAGCAUUCAGUUGGGCACUCUAGAGAGACCGCCGGUGAUAAACCGGAGGAAGGUGUGGAUGACGUCAAGUCAUCAUGCCCCUUACAUCCUGGGCUACACACGUACUACAAUGCUACGGACAAAGGGUUGCAAGCUCGCGAGAGUUAGCUAAUCCCAUAAACCGUGGCUCAGUUCAGAUCGUAGGCUGCAACUCGCCUACGUGAAGGAGGAAUCGCUAGUAAUCGCAGGUCAGCAUACUGCGGUGAAUACGUUCCCGGGCCUUGUACACACCGCCCGUCACACCAUGGAAGUUGGCCAUGCCCGAAGUCGUUA